UUGGCCAGGAAUGGCGAACUGUGGCCACUGGGAGCUGCGGGGGGCCGUGCCUGCCGAUAGUCAACGUCAGCAAAAUCUCUCGUGGCCCAGAAUCAGAUUACUCUGAUGGGUCACAUGUUGCCCACCACUGUU